rnacentral:rRNA from 1 species
UACGUAGGGUGCGAGCGUUAAUCGGAAUUACUGGGCGUAAAGCGUGCGCAGGCGGUUUUUUAAGACAGGUGUGGAAUCCCCGGGCCUAACCUGGGAACUGCAUUUGUGACUGCAAGGCUAGAGUGUAGCAGAGGGGGGUAGAAUUCCACGUGUAGCAGUGAAAUGCGUAGAUAUGUGGAGGAAUACCGAUGGCGAAGGCAGCUCCCUGGGCUAACACUGACGCUCAUGCGCGAAAGCGUGGGGAGCAAACAGG